ACCGGGGCUGCGGACCGGCGCCGUGGGGACGGCUGCGCGGGGAUCUGGGUGCCUCGGGAGGGAAGUGGCGGCCCCAGGAGGCCCUGGCUGAGAGAGGUUUGGGGCCACUGAGACCCCUAGGGGUCGCGGAGUGUCGGCGAGCUGUGGAGCGAGAAGCCUGGCCGCCUCGCGGACCGACUCGGGGUCGACAACGCCCACACCUGGCGUCCGCGGGAGGCGCCGAACUUGGCGGCCCCGAAGGAGCCCCAGCAGUCGGAGGAAACCGAGACCCAAAGAGGAGAAAAAAUCCACAAUACAUACUUCUGGGGAUUUUCCAUAUUGAUGGAAGAAAAUGUUCAGGAUACCAAAGUGAAUCCCAUUGAAGGCAUGUAUUAGCAUUAAUUUCUCCUAACUAUUGAAAUGAAGCCUGUGUGGUUCUUUCUCCCCUUAAGAUGUUCAGCAAAAAUCCUGAAACUCUGAAAGAUGAUUGAUGUAGAAACAUGCUAGAGUUAACCUUAUUUUAAAAACAAUAACUAUGCAUAACAGAUGGCUUUCCCAACCAGUGAGACUCCCUGCACUGAGGCUCUUCUCACAGGAACUUCUGAAUUCUGAACAAGGUCUGACAAGGUACUGCAGGUAGCAAAAUAUUGUGUGAGAAGUUAAUGACAUUUCAUCUUGGUGUCUGCUGAAGGCCAAUCUAGGAUUCCUCUGAAAACUGGCAUGUCAGGUGACUAAACCUUGGGAGUCUUUGUGGGGAGGUUGUUGGUGUUGUCCUGUCUAAGGGACCUAAGGUCAUUGAGUUAGAGCAUCUCAAGGAACUUUUUGUAGCCUCCACAGUAAGCAUUACAGUAUACCAUCCACAGAUAUAAAUACUCAAUAAAGAUUUGUUUAAUAGAAUUUAAUUGUUAGCAGGUCCUGAGCCUGAGCUUAACUAAAGCAGGCAGCUGCCCUUGGGAAUACAACCAAACCCUCAGGAGCCCAAAGAAAAAGAGCACAGUCAAGGUCAAGUGUCCCCAGAAAGGUCAUGCUUAUUUAGUUCAUAGCUCAAAUCAGUUGUGGUGGGCAUGAGGGUACUAAUUCCCAUUCAGAGGCACAGAAACCAUUCAGUAAAUGAAUUGAAAUAUGUAAUUGGACCUGGCCCUUUAAAGUUUUGUGGCCCUUUCAAAGCCAAAUGGAAAAAGGAAACACCGCAUCUGUUUUCUGAUUCCCUUUUCAAAGAAGCUGAAAAUAUAUUGCAAAUGAGCCCUUAGUUGUGGGUCACUAUCCUUACAAGACCUGUGUUUGGUUCCAAGGUUGGAAACUUACUCUGCCUCGCAAUCUCACCCACCUCCAACUUGAACUAGGUCUCAAAGUCUCGUUUUGACUAUAUAUUCUUUCAGCCACGUGGGAGAGAUGAGAAGAGGCUAAAUACAGCCAUAUAAAAAACAACCAUCAAACUAGAAAGCACCUUCAGGCUUAACAUCAACAAUAUGCCUCCCCUUCCCCAAUUUAUUCUGGUGUAAACUCAUCUCUAGUGUGAGGGGUUGGAGAAGACCCCAGGGAUCUGAAGAGACCAACACCCUGUACCCAUCUAGUCUCAUCUAAACGUCACCUGCGGCAACCCAUCUUAAAGUCCUCCUUUCUCCCCUCCCUGGGACACCUGAUUUGGGAGGAUGUCAGCCCUGAAUGGGUCCCACAGUCAAGCUGGGACUUGAGGGGACACCUCCAGGACAGAACCGAAAAGAAUUUGUAGGGUGUGCUGAACAUGUCUUAAUCUGGGUCUCUAGCUACAUUCUUGUUCCUACUAAAAAUCUCAGCACACUUCUAAUCAAGCAAGGCACGUCUACUUAUCUGAUGGUGCUGUCAGUGAUAGAAAACGAUCAUAUUAUGGAUUUGGCAGAGAAGAAAAAGGAGAUUUAUUUCUACUGGUUGAAGAUGUAGCUUUUCCAGAUAUGCAAAACCAGUCAGAGCAUUAAAAAAAAAAAUCAAUGAAAAGUGAUCAUGUUUUGUGAGCAGAAGAAACCAUUCUUGACUUCAGAACAAUAAGGAAGAUUAUAAGGAUCCCAAAUCCAUGGUUUAAAAAAAAAUGACAGUAGAGUGCCAGUGGGACUACCAAACUCUUACCUGCCCCCUUAAGGUGAGGCGACAUCUCCAUUUCAAUGAACUCCUUGCUUUCAGUGUUUCAAGUUCCCCCUUUCUCUUUGCUCCUUCCAAUCAUUUAUCUUUUUUUCAAUUUUGAACAUAACUAAAAAGUCUAAGUAGGGAAUUGCACAUAAUUGUAGACUCUGCACCAUUGGCAAAGUGAUGCUUCUUUCUCAGUAUUUGUAAUUAUCUGUUCCACUCUUGCUUACUCCUGGAAAAUUUAUGUAGAAUGACAGCAGUGUCCUUUAUUUCUC